rnacentral:rRNA from 1 species
AGAGUUUGAUCAUGGCUCAGAGCGAACGCUGGCGGCAUGCUUAACACAUGCAAGUCGCACGGCUGGGGUAACUCAGCAGUGGCGGACGGGUGAGUAACGCGUAGGUAUCUAUCUCCGGGUGGGGGACAACGGCUGGAAACGGCUGCUAAUACCGCAUGAUGCCCGAGGGCCAAAGGCGUAAGCCGCCUGGAGAGGAGCCUGCGUACGAUUAGCUUGUUGGCGGGGUAAAGGCCCACCAAGGCUUCGAUCGUUAGCUGGUCUGAGAGGAUGAUCAGCCACACUGGGACUGAGACACGGCCCAGACUCCUACGGGAGGCAGCAGUGGGGAAUAUUGGACAAUGGGCGCAAGCCUGAUCCAGCAAUGCCGCGUGAGUGAAGAAGGUCUUCGGAUUGUAAAGCUCUUUCGACGGGGACGAUGAUGACGGUACCCGUAGAAGAAGCCCCGGCUACUUCGUGCCAGCAGCCGCGGUAAUACGAAGGGGGCUACGUUGCUCGGAAUGACUGGGCGUAAAGGGCGCGUAGGCGGUGUACACAGUCAGGCGUGAAAUUCCCGGGCUCAACCUGGGGGCUGCGCUUGAUACAUGUGCGCUUGAGUUCGGAAGAGGGUCGUGGAAUUCCCAGUGUAGAGGUGUAAUUCGUAGAUAUUGGGAAGAACACCGGUGGCGAAGGCGGCGACCUGGUCCGAUACUGNNNCUGAGGCGCGAAAGCGUGGGGAGCAAACAGGAUUAGAUACCCUAGUAGUCC